rnacentral:rRNA from 1 species
CUGGCUCAGGACGACGCUGGGCGGCGUGCCUAACACAUGCAAGUCGAGCGGGGACACAUGAGUAGCAAUACGAGUGUGUCUGGCGGCGGACGGGUGAGUAACGCGUGAGCAACCUGCCCUUACAGGGGGAUAACGCACCGAAAGGUGCACUAAUACCGCAUGAGACCACAGGUAGGACAUCUACCAGGGGUCAAAGGAGCAAGUCCGGUAAGGGGUGGGCUCGCGUCUGAUUAGCUAGUUGGUGAGGUAACGGCUCACCAAGGCAACGAUCAGUAGCCGACCUGAGAGGGUGAUCGGCCACACUGGAACUGAGACACGGUCCAGACUCCUACGGGAGGCAGCAGUGGGGAAUAUUGGGCAAUGGGCGAAAGCCUGACCCAGCAACGCCGCGUGAAGGAAGAAGGUUUUCGGAUCGUAAACUUCUAUCCCGGGUGAAGAUAAUGACGGUAGCCCGGAAGGAAGCCCCGGCUAACUACGUGCCAGCCGCCGC